UACGGGGGGGGCAAGCGUUGUUCGGAAUUACUGGGCGUAAAGGGUUCGUAGGUGGCCAACUAAGUCAGACGUGAAAUCCCUCAGCUCAACUGGGGAACUGCGUCUGAUACUGGUUGGCUUGAGUGCAGGAGAGGAACGCGGAAUUCCAGGUGUAGCGGUGAAAUGCGUAGAUAUCUGGAGGAACACCGGUGGCGAAGGCGGCGUUCUGGACUGCAACUGACACUGAGGAACGAAAGCCAGGGGAGCAAACGGG
rnacentral:rRNA from 1 species